AGCUGCAGAAAAAGACGCCGGUGGUGACUUUUUGGAAAACACGGUUUACUCCAUAGGAUUAUUAUAAUGUGAAACAAACGCUGGCAGCUUCAAAAAAGAAGUAAAGUGUGAACACAGCAUGCAAGCCUGAAGCCAAAUUUGAACUUACUACUGCGAAAGCGUGUUUAGUGUAAAAACCGCAGAGCUGGCAACCCUGGCAUGAGCACGACCGUUGGUCCGACUGACUAAAAGCGAGUGACACCGGAGGAAGUGAGCGGCUGACAGAAGAAGAGCCUUAAAUGGAACAAAGACAUCAAAGCCCUGCUCUGUCAAAUGGACUGUGAAGGCAGAGGAAUGUACACUACCAUGUUGACAUCAUUGCCAUUCUUCUGAUGAUGAAGUAGCCUUCAAGAACAGCCAACAUCCACCAAGAUGUCUGAGGUGACAACACAGACCACACGUUAUUAAGCUACGUAUGACAAAUUCUAUAUUGUGAGAGUAUGUUGUGAUAUUCUAUUAAAUGCCAUACAUGAGCUGAUGUUUUUAUUUCAUGGUGUAUUUUGAUGUCUGCAACCUACAGGAUGAUCAGCAUUGAGGGCUAGGUCUUCUAUGAAGUUAUCCAUCUGCAUGCCUUUGUCGUGUGUUAAUCUGGAGUAUCAGCAUGCACUAUGCGGGUGAUGGUAUAGAGAUCAUCUGUCUAGCAAUGUGCAAGUGCCAGUUCAGCACCAGAACAGAGACAGAGUUUUAUUGUUGCCAUCAGGCACUGCUGUAUCACAUUGUUAAAGCGACAACGAGCAACUUUUUGACCUUAAAAUAAUGUCUCUAAAAUUAUUUAAGUGGUAGGUCAACUUUUAACUGGACGAAUUUGACUGCCGUUGCUACCUAAGCAGCCUCCUAUCGGCUGAAAUUGCACUUGUAACUUUGGUGUUCGGGCCGGUACAAGCCCCGCCUAUCCCCUGCUUUACGGCAUACGUCACGUUUUACUCGUAGCCUGGGAGAAGUUAGCCAACAGCAGAGCUAACAGUAAGACGAAACGAACCAAAACAUCACCAUGGCAGAGCCAGCCAAAAAAAAACAAAGAGGGUUUUGUCGGAGGAAGCAAAGAAAUUGAAUUGAAAUAAUAUAUGGUUGCCGGUGUCGAUAGCUAGCAUGUUGUCGUGUCUCGUCAUGAAUGUGUGUAGUGCUUGUAAAUGAAGACUAAAAAACCACAAUAAACGUGUUGUGGUAAAAAGUAGCAGAUUAUUUAGUUCAGACCAGUAAACCACGUAAAUGUUGAACAGUUCAGUCAUUGAGUAGGCUAAUGUUGUCGUUAUAUAUAUAUAUAUGCACAUGCUAUGCGCUGUUUUCAUAGCGUAUCUGGGUCCGUCGGCUGCCAGCGGGAAAUCUUUGUGACUGUUUUUACGACACUGUAAACAGACAAUUCCGCUUAUCAACCACGUGGGGCAACAGUGAGCAGAAGUUGCUCGUUGUCGCUUUAAAAAAGCCAUUAUUAAUGGAUGUAACUAAUAAUAUUGUACUGAAUA